UACGGAGGGGGCUAGCGUUGUUCGGAAUUACUGGGCGUAAAGCGCACGUAGGCGGCUUUGUAAGUUAGAGGUGAAAGCCCGGGGCUCAACUCCGGAACUGCCUUUAAGACUGCAUCGCUUGAAUCAUGGAGAGGUUAGUGGAAUUCCGAGUGUAGAGGUGAAAUUCGUAGAUAUUCGGAAGAACCCCGGUGGCGAAGGCGGCCCACUGGAUCGGUACUGACGCUGAGGUGCGAAAGCGUGGGGAGCAAACAGG
rnacentral:rRNA from 1 species